GCCCCGGUGGUGAAAUUGGUAAACACAUUGGACUUAAAAUCCAACGGAGAUUACUCCUUGCCGGUUCAAGUCCGGCUCGGGGCA
rnacentral:tRNA from 1 species